rnacentral:tRNA from 1 species
CUAGUUAUCCUAAGUUGGGGUUUUCAUUUACAUUGAAGGUAGUUCUGUUCAAUUCAGAAUAGCUUGA